UAGCCUGUGCCCAAAAGCAGAGAAGAGCAUGGCUACCACACUCAGCCUUCUAAAAUCACCUGUCCUUCCCAGAAACCCUCCAUUUAUACACUCAAAACUCCCAUCNNNNNNNNNNNNUUGGAUGUCUGCAAGAAGCACUCCACUAACCCACAAAAGCUCCUCUUAGAAACCAUCCACCGUAUACCUUCGUCAUCUCUUCCCCUUACCGCAUUCACAUUUCCCCUCUUUUUAGAUGCCAAGGAUGCACUUGCUGUUGGUGGGGAGUUUGGGAUAUUGGAGGGAAGGACAUUUGCACUCAUACACCCAAUUGUGAUGGGCUUUUUAUUCUUCUACACCUUGUGGGCUGG
rnacentral:misc_RNA from 1 species